rnacentral:rRNA from 1 species
GUGAGGAAUAUUGGUCAAUGGGCGGAAGCCUGAACCAGCCAUCCCGCGUGGAGGAAGACGGCCCUAUGGGUUGUAAACUGCUUUUAACCGGGAAGAAACCCCAGGACGUGUCCUGGGUUGACGGUACCGGAGGAAUAAGCACCGGCUAACUUCGUGCCAGCAGCCGCGGUAAUACGAAGGGUGCAAGCGUUAUCCGGAUUCAUGGGGUUUAAAGGGUGCGCAGGCGGGUUGAUAAGUCAGCGGUGAAAGUUUGCAGCUUAACUGUAAAAUUGCCGUUGAAACUGUCGAUCUUGAGUGCAAAUGAGGUAAGCGGAAUGUGUUGUGUAGCGGUGAAAUGCUUAGAUAUAACACAGAACACCGAUUGCGAAGGCAGCUUACUGGGAUGCAACUGACGCUCAUGCACGAAAGCGUGGGGAUCAAACAGGAUUAGAUACCCCUGUAGUCC